rnacentral:rRNA from 1 species
AUUCCAGCUCCAAUAGCGUAUAUUAAAGUUGUUGCAGUUAAAAAGCUCGUAGUUGGAUUUCUGGCAGGAUGACUUUGCCCUCUGUAGAGUGCGCAAUGCUGUCCUACCAUCCUUCUGUUAACCCUGGAGGCCCUUAACAGCUUGUAGGGGGCUCAGAUAUUUUACCUUGAGAAAAUUAGAGUGUUUCAGGCAGGCUAGCGCCGGAAUACAUUAGCAUGGAAUAAUAGAAUAGGACUUAAGCCUCUUCUGUUGGUCUGAGGGGUGUAAGUAAUGAUUAAUAGGGAUAGUUGGGGGCAUUAGUACUUAACUGUCAGAGGUGAAAUUCUCGGAUUUGUUAAAGACCAACUUAUGCGAAAGCAUUUGCCAAGGAUGUUUUCAUCG